GAGCCUUUGCAAAUGCAUGCAGAGCAUGGAAAUGACCCAGCUGCCCUGCUGUUGAAACAGAAUCCUAUUUGGAAGGCAGACAUGUGGCCCAUCUCUGUAGCCAUCACUGAGAAAUCUGGAUUUUCAAGGGCCUUUCUCUCUGUUGCCCAGGCUGGAGUUUAGCGACUCAAUCAUGGCUCACUGACUGCAGCAUCGACCUCCGGGGCUCAAGUGAUCCUUUCAUCUCAGCCUCCUCAGUAGCUGAGACUACAGGCUCCUCCAGAUCUGCCUCCUGCUGACCUUGUACCCAGCUGCAGCGACACCGAGCUCCUCACAGCUUCCCAAAGUGGGCUGGCCCCUCUCACGACAGGGUCAUCGCACAGGCUCCCUCUGUGGGGGAACACAACGGGAGUCAUUUCAACACCACUUUCUUCAGGAAGCCUAUUCUGAUCCUUGGUACUCCAAGCAGCUGUUGUCAAUGCCUACCCCAGGCUGCUAGGAAAUGCUUUCCACUCGGAACUGAGACCUAAAACUGGAAACUAGGCUGCAGGACCACCUGGGUACGUGUGAAUUACAGAGGUUCAUGCAUUUCCAAAUGGGGGUGUCAUUUUAGAACUGGGGCGUAAGAUGAUGAGCAACAGAAAAGACAACGCCGAGCCCCCGGGUAUGAGCUCAGAACUCUUUACAUGUUUGAUGCUCCAAAUGGUCUAGGGCAGGGGGGCUUCAGAGCCUUGGCAGCAGAACGUGGUCGCGUAGAUGUUUAUCUGAUUUUCUGUUGCGCUGCUGCUCAACCGCCACUACGGAAGUGCACACUGCCACCUUAUGGACGUCUUGAGAAGUUACACUUACACGUUAUUAAUUAUAUUAAAUAAAAUUCAAAUGUAAUAAAUAAUGUCAGGGGUAGUUUUUAUAAACAUUUGCAAUGAAAAUUCAUAUGAGGACUUCAGACAGAAUAUAUUCAAAUGAAGAGUUGAUUUCGAUUUCACUGAUGAAAUUAAAUAACAGGAUUAAGAUGAAAUUCUCAGCUAUUUUAGCAUUUUAGUGUUUUUCUGCUACUGAGUUGUGGGAAUUCCUUAUAUGUUUCGGCUUGUCAUAAAUAUGGUUGACAAAUAUUUUAUCUGAUUUUAUACGUUUUUUCACUCUAUUGAUUAUUUCCUUGGUUGUACAGAAACUUUUUAAUUUUAUGUAGUCCCACUUGUCUAUUUUUUACUUUUGUUGACUGUGCUUUUGGUGUUGUAUUCAAGAAAUCACUGCCAAGAUCAUUAUCAUGAAGCUUUCUCCCUAUGAUUUCUUCUAGAAGUUUUAUAGUUGGGGUAUUACAUUUAUUUAUUUAUUUAAAGACAAGAUAUUGUUCUGUCACUCAGCUGCAGUGCAGUGGCACAAUCAAAGCUCACUGCAGCCCCAACCUCCUGGGCUCAAGUGAUCCUCCCAUCUCAGCCUCCCAAGUAACUGCAGGUAACUACAAGUGUGCACUACCACACCAGGCUAUUUUUUGUGGAGACAGGGUUUCUCUGUGUUUCCUGGGCUGAUUUCGAACUCUUGAACUCAAGUGAUCCUUCCACCUUGCCCUCCUAAAGUGCUGGGAUUACAGGUGUGAGCCUCCAACCCUGGCCAGGUCUUACAUGUAAGUCAUUAAUCUAUUUUGAGUUGAAUGUUGUGUGUGGUGUAAUAUACACAUGUGAAUAUCCAGUUUUCCUAACAUUUGUUGAAGAAACUACUGUGUAUUCUUAGCAUCUUUGUCAAAGAUCAAUUAAUCAUAUGUGUGUGUGUUUAUUUCUGCACUCUCCAUUCUAUUCCAUUGAUUUAUGUGUUUAUCUUUAAGCCAAUACAAUACAGUUUUAAUUGCAGUAGCUUUGUAAUAUAUUUUGAAAUCAGGAACUAUGAUGCCUCCAGCUUUCUUUUUUUUUCUAGAGAUUGUUUUGGUUCUUCUGGAUCUUUUAUAGUUUAAUAUGAAUCUUAGGAUUGUUUUUACUAUGUCCGUAAAAAAUGCCAUUGGGAUUUUGAUAGAAAUUGCAUUUAAACUGCAGAUCACUUUGAAGAAUAUGAUUAUUUCAACAAUAUUAAGUCUUCCAAUCCAUGAACAUGGGAUUUUGUGAAUAUUCUUGUAUGGUUUUAGCCUAAUUAGAAUGUUUCUAAUGUUUUGAUUUUACAUACAAUGUUAGCUGUAAGUUUCAGACGGAAUUAUUUCUCAACUCUUAGUUUGUUCAGAGCUUUCUAAAAUUAUUAUUAAUGAAAGUUAAUCAUUUUUGGCAUAGACUUGGUUUUUAACUUUGAUUAAGUCCAGUUAUUACUUUUAAAAUUUUAUGAUGACUCUUUGUGUUCUAAGAAAUAUUUGAUUACCAUCCCAAGAUUGUAAAAAUAUUCUAUACUUUUGGAAAAGCUUUAUAGUUGUAAACUUUUAUGUGUAAGUCUGUGAUCCAUCUGAACUACAUUGCAUAUUUUAUGAAGGUGAAGGUUCAUUAUUUUCCAUAUGGAGUUUAAAUUUUUCCAGCAUCAUUUAUUUGAAAGAAUUUCCUUUCCCUGUUGAACUACCUUGAUGUCUUUGGAGAAAAUAAAUUGACAGUAUGUGUGGGACUCUUUCUGAACUCUGUAUUUUUUUCAUUGAUCUAUACAUGGCAUUACCACACCAUUUUAAUUGCUGUAGUUUAAUAGUAAAGUGCACGUUUUCUACCUUUUUUCUUUCUGACUCUUCUGGGUACUUGACAUUUCCAAAUCAAUUUUAGAAUCAGAUUGUCAAGUGCAACAAAAAAUGGUUGGGAUUUUUAUUAUGAUUGCAUUGAAUCUAUAGAAUAAUUUCGAUUAAAAGUGACAUCUUGGGCCGGGUGCAGUGGCUCGCACCUGUAAUCCCAGCACUUCGGGAGGCCAAGGUGGGCAGAUCACAAGGUCAAGAGUUCAAGACCAGCCUGGCCAACAUAGUGAAACCCCACCACUGCU
rnacentral:lncRNA from 1 species